UACGUAGGGUGCAAGCGUUAAUCGGAAUUACUGGGCGUAAAGCGUGCGCAGGCGGUGAUAUAAGACAGGUGUGAAAUCCCCGGGCUUAACCUGGGAACUGCAUUUGUGACUGCAUCGCUGGAGUGCGGCAGAGGGGGAUGGAAUUCCGCGUGUAGCAGUGAAAUGCGUAGAUAUGCGGAGGAACACCGAUGGCGAAGGCAAUCCCCUGGGCCUGCACUGACGCUCAUGCACGAAAGCGUGGGGAGCAAACAGG
rnacentral:rRNA from 1 species